rnacentral:rRNA from 1 species
CAACUUGAGAGUUUGAUCCUGGCUCAGAACGAACGCUGGCGGCAGGCCUAACACAUGCAAGUCGAGCGCUCUCUUCGGAGGGAGCGGCGGACGGGUUAGUAACGCGUGGGAAUAUGCCCUUCUCUACGGAAUAGCCUCGGGAAACUGAGAGUAAUACCGUAUACGCCCUUCGGGGGAAAGAUUUAUCGGAGAAGGAUUAGCCCGCGUUGGAUUAGGUAGUUGGUGGGGUAAUGGCCUACCAAGCCGACGAUCCAUAGCUGGUUUGAGAGGAUGAUCAGCAACACUGGGACUGAGACACGGCCCAGACUCCUACGGGAGGCAGCAGUGGGGAAUCUUAGACAAUGGGGGAAACCCUGAUCUAGCCAUGCCGCGUGAGUGACGAAGGCCCUAGGGUCGUAAAGCUCUUUCGCCAGGGAUGAUAAUGACAGUACCUGGUAAAGAAACCCCGGCUAACUCCGUGCCAGCAGCCGCGGUAAUACGGAGGGGGUUAGCGUUGUUCGGAAUUACUGGGCGUAAAGCGCACGUAGGCGGAUUGUUUAGUGAGGGGUGAAAUCCCAGGGCUCAAC